GUGGGUUUAAAUUCGAAGGCAAACGCGAAAGAACCUUUACCUAAGCUUGACAUCCUUUUUGACCGAUGCCUAAUUCGCAUCUUUCCCUUCGGGGACAGAAGUGACAGGUGGUGCAUGGUUGUCGUCAGCUCGUGUCGUGAGAUGUUGGGUUAAGUCCCGCAACGAGCGCAACCCUUGCCUUUAGUUGCCAUCAUUAAGUUGGGCACUCUAGAGGGACUGCCAGGGAUAACCUGGAGGAAGGUGGGGAUGACGUCAAAUCAUCAUGCCCCUUAUGCUUAGGGCUACACACGUGCUACAAUGGGUGGUACAGAGGGCAGCGAAGUCGUGAGGCCAAGCUAAUCCCUUAAAGCCAUUCUCAGUUCGGAUUGUAGGCUGAAACUCGCCUACAUGAAGCUGGGGUUACUAGUAAUCGCAGAUCAGAAUGCUGCGGUGAAUGCGUUCCCGGGUCUUGUACACACCGCCCGUCACACCAUGGGAGUUGGGGGCGCCCGAAGCCGGCUAGCUAACCUUUUAGGAAGCGGUCGUCGAAGGUGAAACCAAUAACUGGGGUGAAGUCGUAACAAGGUAACCGUA
rnacentral:rRNA from 1 species